rnacentral:rRNA from 1 species
AUACGGAGGGUGCAAGCGUUACUCGGAAUCACUGGGCGUAAAGCGCGCGCAGGCGGUUUGAUAAGUUGGAUGUGAAAUCCUAUGGCUCAACCAUAGAACUGCAUCCAAAACUGUCAAACUAGAGUCUGGGAGAGGAAGAUGGAAUUAGUUGUGUAGGGGUAAAAUCCGUAGAGAUAACUAGGAAUACCAAAAGCGAAGGCGAUCUUCUGGAACAGUACUGACGCUGAGGCGCGAAAGCGUGGGGAGCAAACAGGAUUAGAUACCCUAGUAGUCC